rnacentral:tRNA from 1 species
GGGAGAAGCCCCGGGACCCAUUACGGGNCCUGUUCCAAAUUUGCACUUUGGCUGCCUUGACCGG